ACCCACAUGUCUACAUGUUUAUUUUCUGGACUUUGUACCCUGUACUCUAUCACUGGUGAUCACCAAUCAAAAUUUAACAUGACACAAAUGAAAGAAUAUUCUGAAUGGAAAUUACAGGAAGUUGACAUCACAUGGCUACAAUCAAUAUACUUACUUGGUCUUUAGCUGUGAGAGGAAACUGGAGGACCCAGAGAAAACACAUGGAGUUGGACAGACAACCCUACUCCAUGGCACGUACAAGCGGGGAAUGAAACCACACCACUUGACUCAAUGACAGACCAUAUGAUUCGGCCACCAAAUCCCCCUUUCAAGCUCUAAAAGAUAUGGAGAGAAAUGAAUCCUGGAAGGUAAGGACUCCAAAAUAGCCUUAUAUCAAAUGUGGGCUAGAGCGAUACUUUCAUACUGCACAGCUUAAUACUCAGUCACUUAUUAAUAUUGUCAACAUUAUUCACAACACCGAUUAUAUCUCAACCCUGGCUUGAU